GUAUAAGGUUUAUAGGCACAAAGGCCCAAUGAUACAUUCUUGUUACAUACUAUGGGGUAUAUGAAAAACAUAGGCCUGGAUAUACAAGGAAAGCUUGCCCAGAGAGCGCAGCAUUCCUCAGGACCGAGUUGCCUCGGAAAAGUCUAUCCAAGUCUACAAUAGGUGCACAAGUGGGGAGAUGAGGAUGGUGGGUGUGCACAUGCCCCCGGCAAGAGGGCCAGCAACAACCACACCAAGUUCAUUCAAUAAUGAUCCUUCCGCAGGUUCACCUACGGAAA
rnacentral:misc_RNA from 1 species